AACGCGAAGAACCUUACCUGGGCUCGAACGGCUGGUCAACGGCAGUGGAAACAUUGCUACCCCGCAAGGGGGUCCAGUCGAGGUGCUGCAUGGCUGUCGUCAGCUCGUGUCGUGAGAUGUUGGGUUAAGUCCCGCAACGAGCGCAACCCUCGUCCUGUGUUGCCAUGUGAGAUUACAUCAAACGGAACUCGCAGGAGACCGCCAGCGAUAAGCUGGAGGAAGGUGGGGAUGACGUCAAGUCCUCAUGGCCUUUAUGUCCAGGGCUACACACGUGCUACAAUGGCCGGUACAAUACGCCGCAAACCCGCGAGGGGGAGCCAAUCGUCAAAAACCGGUCUCAGUUCGGAUUGCAGGCUGCAACUCGCCUGCAUGAAGCUGGAAUCGCUAGUAAUGGCAGAUCAGCACGCUGCCGUGAAUACGUUCCCGGGCCUUGUA
rnacentral:rRNA from 1 species